AUUUUAAAAUUACUCUAUUCUUCAAUUUUAUCAAAAUAUCUAUUCAUAUCUAUCCUUAUUUCUUUAUAAAAUCCUAAUUUUACUAAAUUCCUAAUUGAUACCCUAAUUUCACAAAUAAACACAAACACAGAAAGGAAAGAAAGGGAACAGGGGGAGCUCGAGGGGGGAAACGGAGAACAGGGAGAGAGUGUGAUGGAACAGAGUAAGAAGAGAGGAAGGAGGAUCGCUAUUGUCUCUGGUAGGUUGUCACUGACGUUGAACAGAACAGGGGAGAGGAGCGCGAAUUUGAAAGCGAAAAGGGAGCUCUGUUAUGGGCUCGUUGCCAGGAAAAGAAGAGGCGAUGUUGGUGGGGAUCGCCGCUGGUGUCGUCGCCGUGACUGGGGUUCGUGGUCGCUACUGCUGUUGGUGACGGACUAGGUCGCGUCCUAGCUGCCGGAGCCGCCAUCACCGUGGCUUUGUUACUUUGGGUCAACCAUGUCUCUGCCUUUGAUGUACCUUGUCGUGCCAUAUCCGUUGGAGCUGCCGUGGUUGGAGCUGGCUAUCAGAGAAAACAAUUUGCUGCCACCAUCUUUCAAUCUGGCCAGCAUCAUCCUCUUUGUUCCAGUCCCAAUGCCAAUUUUCUGUUUCUUAAACCUUUGUCAAUUUAUCUCCUGAGAAAUCACAAUUGGUGUUGAGGUCGUUGAUGCUGCUGCUGUUAUGCUGUAGCUAGCUGCAAGAGUUUUACUGCUGCGGGUUAGAAAUUGAUGGUUGCUGCAUCCCAAAAUUCUGUGGAUUUCGAUAAAUCGAGUGACACAGGUUUGAAGACGCAAUUUGAAGCUGCGAGCGAUUAGUAGGUUUUCUUUAUGAUUUUAAUUGCUUUCAUAGAAUCCCCUCGCUCUUGUCCUUUGAGGUUUUAUUUUAACAGAGGGGUAGGUGUUGUAGUUGGGUUUGUAUGACUUCUUAUGUAUAAGAGUUACUAUUAAUAAUACUUAUAUGAUUGUUAUUAUUAUUUGCAAUGGUUAUCCUUGAUACAUGUCUUUAAUGAAUAAAAACAAAAUUUUCCGGAAUUUUCUUAAAACUAAACUGCGAACUCGAUAUAAAGGCUCAGUAAUUAAGUAGUUAAUAUUAGAAAAGGUCACGUAACGUUCUUUCUAGUAGAAAUACCCUGACUUAAGCAAGGUAUUUUGCUGGAAGGGAUGUUACAGAAGGCUACAUCCCAUCCUCGCAGUGAAAACUACGCUCACGCGCUCUGUCACAGCACGGCUAAUCACUGGUUGGUUCCCACGCCUACUGGAAUAGAAUCCCUUGAUUCUUUUGCGUUUGUCACUAACGCCCAGCACUUGCAAGUCUGAAGCACGUCACAGUCAUUCAUUACCGGAAUCCUACUCGGAAUACCACAGACAAGGUUAGACUUUUCGGAUUCCCAGGAUCCUACUCGGAAUACCACAGACAAGGUGAGACCUUCCGGAUCCUCAUAAAUGCCGCCAUCUAUCUAGCUUAUACCACGAAGAUUCUGUUGGGGAAUCUAAGAGAUACACAUUCAAGCUCUGUUGCAUGUAGAACGGAAGUGGUUGUCAAUCACGCGCGUUCAUAAGUGAGAAUGAUAAUGAGGGUCAUAUAAUCAUCACAUUCAUCAUGUUCUUGGGUGCGAAUGAAUAUCUUGGAAUAAGAAUAAGAGAGAAUUGAAUAAAAGAAAAUAGAAUUGCAUUAAUACUUGAGGUACAGCAGAGCUCCACACCCUUAAUCUAUAGUGUGCAGAAACUCCACCGUUAAAAAUACAUAAGUAAAAGGUUCAGGCAUGGCCGAAUGGCCAGCCCCCAUGUGGUCACAAGACCGAAUGAUCAAAGACAUCUAAUACAAUAGUUAAAUGUUCUAUUUAUAAUAAACUAGCUCCUAGGGUUUACAUGAGUAAGUAAUUGAUGCAUAAAUC